rnacentral:rRNA from 1 species
AUUGAACGCUGGCGGCAUGCCUUACACAUGCAAGUCGAACGGUAACGGGCCUUCGGGUGCCGACGAGUGGCGAACGGGUGAGUAAUACAUCGGAACGUGCCCGAUCGUGGGGGAUAACGAGGCGAAAGCUUUGCUAAUACCGCAUACGAUCUACGGAUGACAGCAGGGGACCGCAAGGCCUUGCGCGGACGGAGCGGCCGAUGGCAGAUUAGGUAGUUGGUGGGAUAAAAGCUUACCAAGCCGACGAUCUGUAGCUGGUCUGAGAGGAUGAUCAGCCACACUGGGACUGAGACACGGCCCAGACUCCUACGGGAGGCAGCAGUGGGGAAUUUUGGACAAUGGGCGCAAGCCUGAUCCAGCCAUGCCGCGCGCAGGAUGAAGGCCUUCGGGUUGUAAACUGCUUUUGUACGGAACGAAAAGCCUUCUUUUAAUACAGGAGGGUCAUGACGGUACCGUAAGAAUAAGCACCGGCUAACUACGUG